UGUUAUUUCUACAACAUAUGUUGGCUUAUUAAUAUGUUAGAUGAUGACAUAUCUUUCGGCUGGUGUAUAAUUGAUUAGUAGACUGCUAUAUUGAUAUAUUUGGUUGCUUUAAACAGCUUUUGUUCCUUGAGCUGAAUGAUAGUUGUUCUUUGGUUUAGGCAUAGCUGGUUUUGAGAUAUUUCUGGCAUGCUGUCAUUUCACCUUCUAGUUAUUGCAGUUGGUUUGAUAGUGCUUAUGUUUAUUUUUUGCUGGAAAAUAUGUGCUGUUAAAUUUGCAACAAUGACAAAAAUUACAAAUGCUCAGUUGGAAAUAAUUUGAGAUUUAUGAGAUGAAUGAUACUUGUUAUGUGGUUUAGGCAUAACUGCUUUUGUUCUUUGAGCUGAAUGAUAGUUGUUCUUUACUUUAGGCAUAGCUGGUUUGUAGAUAUUUCUGGAAUGCUAUCAUUUCACAUUUUUGAAUUUGGAUUGAUAGUGUUUUUGUUUAUUUUGCCUGGAAAAUAUGUGCUGUUAUAUUUGCAACUACGACAAAAAUUAGGUGUGCUCAACUGGAAAUAAUUUGAGGAAUUGUGAGAUGAAUGAUACUUGUUAUGUGGUUUAGGCAUAGCUUCUUUUGUACCUGGAAAGAUGUCAAAAUAUAGGUGUGCUCAGUUGGAAAUAAUUUGAGAUUUAUGAGCUGAAUGAUAACUGUUCUAUGGUUUAGGCAUAGCUACUUUUGUUCCUGGAAAUAUGUCAUUUCACAUUCUAUUUACUGCAUUUGGAUUGACAGUGCUAAUGUCUAUUUGCAAAUAGGAUUCACCACAUACUUCGUGGCUUGUGUUUUUAAUGUCUGGGAGGGAAAGUCUUCGUGUUAGUGACAUAUGCUUCCUGUUGUUACAAGAGAUUUUGCGUGAGCACUUCCUUCAGUUGGUGAUUGUGAUUGCAUAUUAUGUUAAGGCUACAUCAAAAAAAAGAAAGCGUGCUGAAACGACCCUAAAAUACGAGUUGUUGAGCAGGAUAAACGACCAAGAAAAACAUUUAACUCGAUUGGUCGGCGUAAGUGAUGUAGACUGUAUUUCGAACCUACGUAUGGAUCGUAGAACUUUUGCUAGACUGUGUAUGAUUUUACGUGAGCGGGGGGGUCUAGUUGAUGGCCGGUUCGUUACCGUUGAAGAACAAAUAGCAAUGUUCCUUUCAAUUUUAGCACAUCAUAAAUAAAAUAGGGUCGUGAGAUUUGAUUUCUGGAGAUCCGGCCAAACAAUCUCGCAUUAUGUACAUGCGGUCUUAGCGGCGAUUCUACGGAUACACGAUGUGUUUUUAGCCAAGCCCGAGGCUGUGCCCGAUACUAGCACGGAUCCACGAUGGCGGUGGUUUAAGGGUUGUUUAGGUGCCUUAGAUGGCACUUAUAUCAGUGUCAUGGUUGGCAAUGAGGAUAAACCCCGAUACAGAACACGAAAAGGUCAAAUAUCAACAAAUGUUCUAGGCGUCUGUGACCGAAACUUGAAUUUCACUUAUAUACUCACUGGUUGGGAAGGAUCAGCGGCAGACUCUCGAAUCUUACGAGAUGCCAUUAACCGACCUCAUGGCCUUAAGGUCCCAAAGGGGAGGUACUAUUUGUGUGACAACGGUUACGCGAAUAGUGAUGGUUUUCUAACGCCCUACAGAGGUGUUAGAUACCAUUUGAAGGAGUGGGGUCCAAAUGCUGCAAGACCACAGAAUAAAGAGGAAUUGUUUAACUUGAGACAUAGUAAGGCUCGUAACGCGAUAGAAAGAGCCUUCGGCAUUUUGAAGAUGAGAUGGGGUAUUCUUCGUUCUCCGUCCUUUUAUCCAAUCAAAGUCCAAAAUAGACUUAUUAUGGCUGCCUUUCUACUCAAUAAUUUUGUUCGGAUGGAGAUGCCCUUUGACCCCAUAGAACAAGAGUUUGAAGCUACGGCUCAAGAGAAUGGCUCCGGCAUAGUCGUAGAGACCGAUGAAUUCAUAGAUACCGUUGAGUGUUCUCCACAAUGGAACGCGGCGAGGAAUGACUUAGCCGAAUCUAUGUGGCUGCAAUAUUUGAAUAACGUUUAGGAUGGACGCCGCAUCCGAAGUAUCAACACCAACCCCUCCAUGCAGCUGUGGCAACGGAAACAUGAACUUAAAGUGCGCUGGUUAUGGUUCAAGAAACCCCGGGCGAUUCUACUACAAAUGUCCAUUGGGUGGGGUCCGUGGGGAUCACCCGAAGGGAUUCAUCUGGUACGACGAAUACCAUGGACUUGGAGUUAGAAGGCUGCCGCAAUCUCCUGGAUCUUCUCAAAAUCGUGGUUUCCAGCAGCCGUUUCCAUCUCAUCCACUAGCACCUAACAUGUUCGUGGCUGCCGGAGAUUCUGAUUUGCAGGGCAACGGUUGGAACUCAGCCCGUGGGUAUCUGGACACUAUCAGCGCCGUUAUUUGUUUCACUAUACUUAUUCUUAUUGUUGGCAUUACAAUAGGUAAAUUUAUGUGAGGGGAUUUGAUGGUGAUAGUUCGAGCAGUGUCCUUUUCUUUUGAUUAUGAUACUUGGUUUUACUUUAGCCUAAAUUGAAGUACUCGUGGGCUGACUAAUGUUGUGAUAACUUUUGUUGUGAUGGAGAUUGUUUGGUGGAGACAUUUUCUUUCAGUUAUGUUAUUAAUUUGACAUUAUGGUAUCUUACUUUUGCAAUGGAAUAGAAAUGAAUUGUUGGUCUGCGAUUUUUCCUUGUUUUUCUUGGAAAAAUAUAUUUGAAUUAAAGCAUAUUUGAUUUAUGUUUAUUUAUUAUGGCUACCUUUGUACUCCUUCCCAUAUUUAUUGCAAUUCUUUGAUUUCCCAUGCGUGUGCAUGGGAAAUAUACUGCAGUUCUUUGGUCAGCAUUAAUUGGUGGUAAUUCAAAGUGACAACAAAAAACUAUUGGUACUUCAUCUAUCUAGGAGUAUCUUUUUGUUGACCAAUUUUGUGGUCUAAUAUAGCAUUAACAACAGGUGUCUUUGCAUUUGAUGGGGCGUUGACAGCUAACCCCCAACCUCCCAACAACAAUUUUAUUUAUUGCUCCAUUCCUCAUCUCUAUGCAUCAAGCCAUCUAUAAAAGACCAUAAUUCACGUAUAGAGAGUUCAAAAAAUACAAGACGACCAACACAGAAAAAAACUUCUCAAAACACAACCACCCCUCAAUCUCGCAUCAUGCUCCCUGAAGUUGGCCCCCAAUCGCUGUUUUUUUAUGUCAACAAAUGGGAUGAGACCAAGGAUAAGAUGCUCUUACAAUGUCUUAUCGAAAAAAUCGAGGAAUGUAGCCCAUCUCCACCACAUCUCUCUCCACAUGCAUUGAUUUAUGCGAUGAAGACGCUGAAUUCGCAAUUGAAUGCGGGUGUGUCCCUUGUUCAAGUCGAGGGACGAGUAGACUUCCUCCAUGAUCGGUAUGUGUGUUUCAAGUACUUGUGCAAUCGGCGCGAAACCGAUUGGGAUAAGCAUUCAAACAUGAUUCAUGCCGAUGAUAAAGUGUGGAAAAAGCUAUUCAAGGAAAAUAAACUCUUCCAAGCGUAUUAUCGUAACGGUGAGCCCGAGUACAUUCAAAUGUGCUCCUUGUUCGGCCGUCACGACGUCAAGAGAGAGCUGUCUCAUACCGUCAUCCUUAUUGAAGACUCUUCAACCGUUAAGAAACAAGCCGAAGACUCAAGCGAAGACGAGGUAACCUCGCCUAUAAUGAAACCCAAACGAGUUGUGCCUAGGAAGAAGCUCUUUGUAGAGGAUGCUUGUUCUAGCGUGGAGCCGUCUUUCCCCACGCCAUUCAAGGCUCAAGUGCAUGUCCCAUGGUCGCCAAUUAAAAAAAAGUUUGCUAAACCAAUAAGCUCUAACUUUCCUGCUGCAAAUGAUUUUCCGAUGAAGCCGAAGGAUGACCAAAAUCCCAAUGUCGGGUAUGGUGGAAGCUCUUGCGCAUCAUCUUCUCCUUUUAAAUAAACCAAUUAACGCUGGCCUAUAUCUUUUGUCGAUGUGCUAGAAUUGGGCUUCCAUGAUAAACUAUUGCACUGCUAGAAUUUUCUCUUCCAAGUUUGCUUUCUAUGUUUUUGUUAUUUCUUUUGUCAUCACUGCAUCUUAUUGUUUGGUCGAAGUUCUAAUGAAAUUUGUGUUUCUCCUUU